CCUACGGGGGCUGCAGUGAGGAAUAUUGGUCAAUGGACGAGAGUCUGAACCAGCCAAGUAGCGUGAAGGAUGACUGCCCUAUGGGUUGUAAACCUCUUUUAUAAAGGAAUAAAACGAGGCACGUGUGCCUUUUUGCAUGUACUUUAUGAAUAAGGAUAGGCUAACUCCGUGCCAGCAGCCGCGGUAAUACGGAGGAUCCGAGCGUUAUCCGGAUUUAUUGGGUUUAAAGGGAGCGUAGAUGGGUUGUUAAGUCAGUUGUGAAAGUUUGCGGCUCAACCGUAAAAUUGCAAUUGAUACUGGGAGUCUUGAGUACAGUUGAGGUAGGCGGAAUUCGUGGUGUAGCGGUGAAAUGCUUAGAUAUCACGAAGAACUCCGAUUGCGAAGGCAGCUUACUAAACUGCCACUGACAUUGAUGCUCGAAAGUGUGGGUAUCAAACAGGAUUAGAUACCCUUGUAGUC
rnacentral:rRNA from 1 species